UACGUAGGGGGCAAGCGUUGUCCGGAUUUAUUGGGCGUAAAGAGCGUGUAGGCGCCAGACAGGUCCGUUGUGAAAACUCGAGGCUCAACCUCGAGAUGUCGAUGGAAACCGUCUGGCUAGAGUCCGGAAGAGGAGUGUGGAAUUCCUGGUGUAGCGGUGAAAUGCGCAGAUAUCAGGAAGAACACCUAUGGCGAAGGCAGCACUCUGGGACGGUACUGACGCUGAGACGCGAAAGCGUGGGAGCGAACAGG
rnacentral:rRNA from 1 species